UACGUAGGGCGCAAGCGUUAUCCGGAAUUAUUGGGCGUAAAGAGCUCGUAGGCGGUUUGUCGCGUCUGCCGUGAAAACCUGCAGCUUAACUGUGGGCUUGCGGUCGAUACGGGCAUCACUGGAGUUCGGCAGGGGAGACUGGAAUUCCUGGUGUAGCGGUGAAAUGCGCAGAUAUCAGGAGGAACAUCAGUGGCGAAGGCGGCUACCUGGCCCAAUACUGACACUCAGGUGCGACAGCGUGGGGAGCAAACAGG
rnacentral:rRNA from 1 species